rnacentral:snRNA from 1 species
GUGCUCAUUCAGCAGUACACACACUGAGAUGAAACAUGGCGGAGGAGAUGAGUGUAGCCCCUGCACAAAGAUUAUGGGUACAUCGGUGAAGCACUCCAUAUUUUU